AUUGAACGCUGGCGGCAGGCCUAACACAUGCAAGUCGAGCGGAUGAAGGGAGCUUGCUCCUGGAUUCAGCGGCGGACGGGUGAGUAAUGCCUAGGAAUCUGCCUUGUAGUGGGGGAUAACGUCCGGAAACGGGCGCUAAUACCGCAUACGUCUUGAGGGAGAAAGUGGGGGAUCUUCGGACCUCACGCUAUCAGAUGAGCCUAGGUCGGAUUAGCUAGUUGGUGGGGUAAAGGCCUACCAAGGCGACGAUCCGUAACUGGUCUGAGAGGAUGAUCAGUCACACUGGAACUGAGACACGGUCCAGACUCCUACGGGAGGCAGCAGUGGGGAAUAUUGGACAAUGGGCGAAAGCCUGAUCCAGCCAUGCCGCGUGUGUGAAGAAGGUCUUCGGAUUGUAAAGCACUUUAAGUUGGGAGGAAGGACAGUAAGUUAAUACCUUGCUGUUUUGACGUUACCAACAGAAUAAGCACCGGCUAACUUCGUG
rnacentral:rRNA from 1 species